UAUCGACAAAUUGAUCCUGUCUAGGUAAUUGUAUCGUAUACUCACCACAGUAGAAACCAUAGGAUUUUUUCAGGUAUUCGGUUAACUAGUGUUAGUCUCUCCUGAAAACAGUGCAUUGAUCUUGAUUUGGUACAAGUGUGCUGGUGGAAUUCAUGUGUUCCAUAAUAAUGGAAGGGAACAAGUUCACGUGCAGGUGUCUUGGGAGAACGCAUUGUAUAUUAAACACAUUUCUGUGUGUUUCCUCAGGUGCCUGGUAAGAAAACAGGGUGAACUGAAAAUGGUUCACAUACCCUUGUGCAGGUAAGUGUCAAAGUGAAUCCGACUACAAUGAAGACCAUGUGACCUUGAGUAUCUAGGUAAGCGAGGGUGUUAUCCCUAACAUUGGUGUUAAUGUGACUUAUUUUUUUAUUUUUGUCGGUAUCAGGUUAGUAUCUUUGCUAGUGUGCGGGUAUGAGAUGGUGUGAUAUUAACUGAUUAAAGACCUUUGUUUUAAAGAUUUUAUUUGUAAGUAAUUUCUGCACCCUCCAUGGGGCUCAAACUCACAACUGUAAGAUCCAGAGUCACAUGCUCCACUGACUGAGCCAGGCAGGUACCCCUAAAGACAUUUCUAUAUUCAGGUAUCUACAUAAUUUAUCACUUCAAGUCUCUUCAGUUUACUUUUUUUAUGGGAUGUAUUCAGUUAAGAGUUUAGUGUGUCCCUUAUAAUGCUGGUAGCAAUACGAUUAUUUUGUGUUCUCGUUUGGAAAUAAGAUCACUUAACAUAGCAGUUACAAAUUUGCAGAUAUCGUGGAAGUUUCUCAUAUUGUCCUUUGCUACUUUAUUGACUAUGGAAUUAGUAUAAGUGAUUUGAAGAGACGAAGGUGCGUCUUCCUAGAGAUUGACCCUGGAGUUCUGCAAGGAUCCAUGGUUCCUGAAAUGAUACAGUGACCAAGGGAACGUGCAGGUGUAGUGGUAGAAUGAGACGCGCCCAAAAUAUUUUUUGCAAUGUUUUUCUUUUUACAGACUCGUAUCAUUGAAUCACACUGAGCCUAUUGAUGAUAGCUAACAUAAGACAUUGCUAAUGUCACAGUAGAGAUGAUGUAGGCCUUAGCCACAGCACCGACCAUCUGAUCUUCAGACUGCUAGGUGCUCCGUAGAAGUUGUGUUACCUGACAAUAGUCUUGACCUUGGAGUCCUACAGCUAUUCGAGCAGAGGUUUCCUGUCAAGAGAUUGUGAUGAAAACCGCACUAGUGAUUCUCUGGGGACAUUUCUGUUCCCCAGACAAGUGGUGAUGUUCACCUUCGCCAUUUCAAACCAUCUGAUCUUCUCCUAUCUGGAUGAAUGUUAUCGAUGGACUAAACUUGCUUAGCGCAUGUGUUUUGGUUUUUUUUUAAUAAUCAGGGAAGAGGUGAUUGUGUGUCUGUCUUCGGCAUCACCUUGAAGGACUACAACAAUCCAGGAAGAGUUGACGGGUCCUGCGCUGAUGGCAAUGAACAAGAUGAUGUGCAGUGGCCUAGUAGAAGAGGAGACACAUUUUUCACGAAGUGUUUUUUAAUUACCAUCAAGUGAUCAUGGUAAAUUUCCAAAUAGUCAUUGAUGGGACUUAGUUUAUAUUCAGGUAUUCACAUCAAAGAUGAUACUGUCCAUUACCAGUUAACAAGUUGUAUCCUGCCACUUGCUUGUUAUAAGUAUGUUUCUUAAGAUUCUAGCAGUCUUGACACCACAGUGAUAGACGGUGGUCGUCAGUAGGAACUUUCCGGUAACCAGCUAUGUGAUAUUGUGGAUGUCACCAAUUAGUUGAGAUCAGCUGUUCUUGAGAUGUCUAGGUAAGUGAGGAU